UCACUCUCCUUGCAGGGGAGAUACCAUGAUCACGAAGAUGGUUUUCCCAGGGUGACCCCUGCGAUUUCCCCAAAUGCGGGAAACUCAACUGCCUAAUUUGUGGUAGUGGGGGACUGCAUUCGCGCUCUCCCCUG
rnacentral:snRNA from 1 species